AUCGCUUCUCGGCCUUUUGGCUAAGAUCAAGUGUAGUAUCUGUUCUUAUCAGUUUAAUAUCUGAUAUGUCCUCUACAGUGUUGGUAAUGUUACUUUAAAAAAGUAAUUAGUUAUAGUUACUGAUUACUUUGUCAAAAAAGCAACUCAGUUACUAACUGAGUUACAAGAUCAUAAAAGUAACUAAUUACC